rnacentral:lncRNA from 1 species
AGUUGCCAUGGUUCCUCCCACCAUAGCACUCCCCGAGACAUUUUGCAAAUUUCUUUGACCAUCAGGAGGAGGCCCUUGGUAUAAUGCAACAAGGGCUUUUGUGGUUUCAUCCUCACUAAAACUACACCUAUUCAUGUCAGGUCUGCAUAGUAAUGCACAUACUGUUAGUAUAUAUCAUGAACCAACUAUUUCAAAAACUUAAAUUGUCAGAUGAAAACAAACAAAUAUAUUACUAACACACCCUUUUUAUGAAAGAAACCUUUGGACUAGAAACGUGGACCAUGCAUAUGUUUGCCUCACUUGGGUUGAAAUUCAACUUUUCAUUAAAGAAUGAGGGAGGUAAGGAUCAAACUCGAGGCCACAUGGUCAUAAAGGUUCAAAUGCCAUGUCAUGAACUAAAUAUUACAAAAUAAGGACUUGAGCUUUAGAGUGAAGACACGUGAAUGGUUAAUGGUUGCAUAUUAUACCUCUUAACAAUUUGAAUCAGAAACACUUAUGUACUUCAUGUGUUAUCCUGCACAAUCAAUAUAAGUAGUUCCCAAUUCUUGUUAUAUUUUAACAAGCAAUCUAGUUUCUUUAGCACUCUCUUUUUCUUAUUGUUAUAUUUAAGGCACAAGCACAUGGACAAUAGGUGGCCAGGUGGAGGAUCAAACCACCGACAUCAGCAUCACACCCUAACCUUAGAAGACUCUGACUAGUUCCAAUUGAACUACAAGCUCAAUACUGCUUAGCUUUUUCUUUAUGGAAACAUAUUUAAAAUUUUAAUCUUUGAGUUAACCUUCCAGCCAGUUAAGCAUACUACCCAGCCACUUUUCAGGUAGGUUAUCAGGAUUUGUGCCAACAGGAAGAAGCCGCCAUUUAUGACACCUGUCACACUGUACCCAAUUAUCUUCCUUCUCAUGAGGCAGCAUUAGAG